GAUGAACGCUGGCGGCGUGCCUAAUACAUGCAAGUCGAGCGAACAGACGAGGAGCUUGCUCCUCUGACGUUAGCGGCGGACGGGUGAGUAACACGUGGAUCACCUACCUAUAUGACUGGUAUAACUUCGGAAAACCGGAGCUAAUACCGGAUAAUAUAUUGAACCGCGUGGGGCAAUAGAGAAUGUCGGCUUUUGUGUCUCGUAUAGCUGCUUCCGCGCCGCAUUGGCUAGUUGGUAAGGUAACGGCUUACCAAGGCAACGAUGCGUAGCCGAGCUGAGAGGGUGAUCGGCGACACUGGAACUGAGACACGGUCCAGACUCCUACGGGAGGCAGCAGUAGGGAAUCUUCCGCAAUGGGCGAAAGCUUGACGGAGCAACGCCGCGUGAGUGAUGAAGGUCUUCGGAUCGUAAAGCUCUGUUAUUAGGGAAGAACAAAUGUGUACGUAACUAUGCACGUAUUGACGGUACCUAAUCAGAAAGCCACGGCUAACUACGUG
rnacentral:rRNA from 1 species